rnacentral:lncRNA from 1 species
AGUCUCCCUGAUUCCCUCCUCUGCCAUUUCAGGGAUUGUGGGAGUUGAUCAGAACCAUCAGUUAAUUUUUAUCUCUGGAAAAUGUGGUGGCUGUUUAUUCUAUCCUAUGAAAAACCACCCUUGAGAUAAGCAGUCAACCACCUGUAAGAGCUGGCCACCUGUGCUUCAGUCUUCUACACUUCGACUUGUCUACCAUUGCUCCAUGGCAGGAAAGAGGAACCACAGGGCAGCUACUAAAAGCUUUUUAUGAAGCCACCAGAU